rnacentral:ncRNA from 2 species
UUUUCUCUCAUGGGGUGGUUAAUCUAAUUAAUCUGAGAACAUACCCAUUGAACCUGAUCCGGGUAAUUCCGGCGAAGGAAGAGAGAUAAAAGGUUCUG